rnacentral:rRNA from 1 species
GUGCCAGCAGCCGCGGUAAUACGUAGGGUGCGAGCGUUAAUCGGAAUUACUGGGCGUAAAGCGUGCGCAGGCGGUUUGGUAAGAUAGACGUGAAAUCCCCGGGCUCAACCUGGGAGCUGCGUUUAUGACUGGCAGGCUAGAGUAUGGCAGAGGGGGGUGGAAUUCCACGUGUAGCGGUGAAAUGCGUAGAUAUGGGGAGGAACACCGAUGGCGAAGGCAGCCCCCUGGGCCGAUACUGACGCUCAUGCACGAAAGCGUGGGGAGCAAACAGGAUUAGAUACCCCGGUAGUCCACGCCGUAA